GGGUUGGACUGGGCAGGAUGGAGCUUGUGGUACCAGGAAAGGGGGCUGUGCUGGCUGGAGACCCCAGUUGCUGCAGAGAGCAGUAGGAUGGAGGCUGUGGGGGCCAGUGGCAGCAGAAGCAGAGGGUGCUGUGACACACACCAGCCCCAAGAACCACUGUGCAAGGGGGGCUGGAGGACAGAUCCCACUGGGAAUGACUCAUGGAUGAUCAGAAAACACCCUUGGCUCCAACGACAAAGGCAGAGAGCACCAAACCACCCUCCUGUUCCACGCUGGAGGACUUCCAUACAUGGCCCCUUGCAAAGCCAAGACCUGCUCUCCGAUGAGGAUGCUGGAAAUUACCAUAAUGCAAAUAAAGCAAUGUGUUAUUAAUGAUA